rnacentral:rRNA from 15 species
UUGUCGGGUAAGUUCCGACCUGCACGAAUGGCGUAAUGAUGGCCACGCUGUCUCCACCCAAGACUCAGUGAAAUUGAAAUCGCUGUUAAGAUGCAGUGUACCCGCGGCUAGACGGAAAGACCCCGUGAACCUUUACUAUAGCUUCACACUGGACUUUGAAUUUAUUUGUGUAGGAUAGGUGGGAGACUUUGAAGUGUUGGCGCCAGCUGGCAUGGAGUCGCCCUUGAAAUACCACCCUGGUAACUUUGAGGUUCUAACUUAGGUCCCUUAUCGGGAUUGAGGACAGUGUGUGGUGGGUAGUUUGACUGGGGCGGUCUCCUCCCAAAGAGUAACGGAGGAGCACGAAGGUACCCUAAGGAUGGUCGGAAAUCAUCCGCUUAGUGUAAUGGCACAAGGGUGCUUGACUGCGAGAGUGACAACUCGAGCAGGUGCGAAAGCAGGUCAUAGUGAUCCGGUGGUUCUGAAUGGAAGGGCCAUCGCUCAACGGAUAAAAGGUACUCCGGGGAUAACAGGCUGAUGAUGCCCAAGAGUCCAUAUCGACGGCAGUGUUUGGCACCUCGAUGUCGACUCAUCACAUCCUGGGGCUGGAGCAGGUCCCAAGGGUACGGCUGUUCGCCGUUUAAAGAGGUACGUGAGCUGGGUUUAGAACGUCGUGAGACAGUUCGGUCCCUAUCUGCCGUGGGCGUUGGAGAUUUGAGGAAAGCUGCUUCUAGUACGAGAGGACCGAAGUGGACGAACCUCUGGUGUUCGGGUUGUGAUGCCAAUCGCAUUGCCCGGUAGCUAUGUUCGGACAGGAUAACCGCUGAAAGCAUCUAAGCGGGAAGCCCCCUUCGAGACGAGAUCUCCCUUAGGACUUGAUCCUACUGAAGUGCCGUUGAAGACGACGACGUUGAUAGGUUGGGUGUGUAAGCGCUGUGAGGCGUUGAGCUAACCAAUACUAAUUGCACGUGAGGCUUGA